AACUUGAUGAGCAUCCCUCUAAAAGUCCACGGCUCCUGGAAGUGGGCAUACUGAGUCUCCAGUGGGAGAGCUUCUUCUGAGGUAUUACAAGCCCAAGACGAGAUGUUGAUGCAGCACAGCAGUGAAUGACAGGCAUUAAAAUCUCACCAAUCAUGUUGAUUAAUUCAGCUUCAUCCUUAGUGGGUGCUAAUGAUACCAUCCGAAAAAACAGUCCAGACAACUAGUCCAUUGCAUUUUACGCCUUUUCAAUAUGCAUUAAAUUCUUACCAGUUACAGAACGAAGUCCAGGUGCUGAGAAUUUUCAGGAAAAAAAAA